CAGAAAAUAAACACAAUUUUUUGGAAAGGCUAUGGAAAUACUCCCUCUCUUUUCCAACAACAUCAUGUUCAUAUAUUUCCACCAAAACAAGAUACUGCAACAAAUUGCAUAAAAAGGUGCAUAUGGGAAUUCCCACUGUGGUGGGUUAAGAAUAUGACUGCAGUGGCUCAGGUCGCUGCAGAGGUGCAGGUUCAAUUCCUAACCCAGCACAGUAGGUUAAAGGAUCCAGAGUUGCCACAGCUGCAGCUAGGAUUCAGUCCCUGGCCCAGGAACUUUCUAUGCUGUGGGUGAGGCCAUAAUAAAUAAAAAAUAAAUAAGCAGAUAUGAGAAUCCGUUUCAAUUCUAUUAAAUCAGUCCACAAAGAGAUCUGAGAAGGUAAAACAAUAAUUUUUUUUUUGUUUUGUAAAGAUAGUUUCUUUCAUUUAAAUGUGGUAGUUGUGUUAAUAUGUGAUGUUGUUCUUUAAGAUAAAUAUUUUAAAAUUACCUUUUUUCGGCCGUACCCCUGACAUGCAGAAGUUCCUCGGCCAGGGAUUGAACUGGAGCCACAGCAGUGACAAUGAUGGAUUCUUAACCCACUCAGCCACCAGGGAACUCCUCCAUUUUUAUUUCUAAUAUCAGCAGGUAUAACUCAUAAAGACAAAAGCUGGAGUUCCUGUCAUGGCACAGCAGAAACAAAUCCAACUAGGAACCAUGAGGUUGCAGGUUCGAUCCCUAACCUCACUCAGUGGGUUAAGGAUCCAGUGUUGCCAUGAGCUGUGGUGUAGACUGGCAGCUGUAGUUCUGAUUAGACCUCUAGCCUGGGAACCUCCAUAUGCUUCAGGUGUGGCACUGAAAAAAGCUAUUUUGUGGUCCUCAAAAUUUUUUCUUAAGUGUAAAAUUUCUUCAGUCCAAAACUUUUGAGAAAUGCCAUAUAAAACAGUGGGAAAAUUUAAAAAAUUAUAUAAAAAAAGAGACAGUGCAGCACUGAUGGGAGGUCAGAUAUAUCCAAGGAAUAUAAGUGAAAGUCCAGAAAUAAACCCUUAUGUUUAUGGUCAGUUUAUCUUAAAAAAAAAAAAUUCCAGUGCUUCCCUUCAUACUUCUAAUGAUACAGACAGUUCACAGAUAGGUCAUAGACUAUCAUUCCAGAAUCCUCAUAAGCAGGAAUUUCUUCAGUGUCUUUCAGCUUUGCUCUUCCUUUAGAAACGUUGCUGCGUCUGCAACCUACACCACAGCUCACGGCAACGCCGGAUCGUUAACCCACUGAGCAAGGCCAGGGAUGGAACCGCAACCUCACAGUUUCCAGUCAGAUUCGCUAACCACUGAGCCACGACGGGAACUCAAGGGAAUGCUUUCUUAAAAUGAAAGGCCCAUUUAGCUGACCUUGCCUUCUGCUUUUCUUUACAUCUGGAACUCAACUGCUGUACUGGAGCUUGAGCAGCCAUCCUGUGACUGCAAAGGAACACGCACAUAUUAAGGAUGCUGGGUGAAGGGAAGAGAGAAGGUCCUGGCUCUCCGAGGACGUUGUGGAUAUUCCAGAUCAGCCCUGGACUAAAAAAGACGUAUAUGAUAGGUAAUACGUUUAAGCUCCUGUUUUUUCCAAUUGUAUUACAGGUAAGCUAAAUGUCUAAAUCUUACAGUAUGACCCCACGCCCCCCUCCCACUUCAAUAGGAGGGUAUCAUUGGAGUUCCCAUCGUGGUGCAGAGGCAACGAAUCCGACGAGGAACCAUGAGGUUGUGGGUUCGAUCCCUGGCCUCGCUCAAUGGGUUAAGAAUCUGGCAUUGCCGUGAGCUGUGGUUUAGGCCAGCAGCUGUAGCUCCAAUUGGAUCCCUAGCCUGAGAACCUCCACAUGCCACGGGUGCAGCCCUGAAAAGCGCAUGCAUGCGCGCGCGCGCACACACACACACACACACACACACACACACGAGGGUAUCAUUAAUAACAGCAUUUCUUCCUGCUCAUCCUAAAUAUAGCCUCAGAAUCCAUCUCAACAUAAGUGCCUAAAACCCACAGUGCAGCAGAAUCCCCGACAUUACCCAGCAGCUCAGGCUUGAGAAGGACGUGGUCCUUGUGUGGUUCUGCAGCUGGCAGCAGAAGGGCAAGUGGUCAAGCAGUGACUAUUUGCAGCGAGGGGACUGUGAUACUGGCCCCUCCUUUCUUGGGCGGGGGCAGGUGGGGGGACCAGUAUCCUUUCCUCUGGCACCAAGGCCCCAGGUAAUACCCCAGGCUGUGGGUAUCCUCAUGUCUCUACACUGGCCUCCUUGGCCUCUUUCCAUGAGAGUGAAGCCUUUCUUGCUGCGUCUAUCAACACUCUGGGCUCUCCCGUGCAUUCAAACUGCGGUACCUGCCCUUCUCAGGAAUGGGGGCCAGAGGAAAGGGAGGCGCUAGGAGAAAACCUUGGGGUUUGUACCCAGGCUUCAGGGAUUAAGUUCUUCAUUCACUAAGAAAGGAAUUGGCCACACAGAGUGGGUGGGGACCCAGAGUUUGGGGGAACUGGCUGGAGGGAAGGUGAAGUUCGGCCAUACUCCUGACUGUAAUCCCCACUGUUUCCACUCUGCUCUUAAAUAAAGAAGCCUGGGACAUAGACACACAGAGGGAGCAAUAUAUUCCAG
rnacentral:lncRNA from 1 species